rnacentral:rRNA from 1 species
AAUGAACGUUGGCGGCGUGGAUUAGGCAUGCGAGUCGUGCGAUAACCCCGCAAGGGGGGUAAGCGGCGCAAGGGAGAGUAACGCGUGGGUACCUACCCUCAGGUCCGGACUAGCUGCGGGAAACUGCAGGUAAUGCCGGAUUAUAUCCCCGGAUCAAAGGUGUGAUUCCGCCUGGGGAGGGGCCCGCGUUCUAUUAGCUUGUUGGUGGGGUAAUGGCCUACCAAGGCUACGCUGGAUACCGGGUGUGAGAGCAUGACCCGGCUCAUUGGGACUGAGACACUGCCCAGACACCUACGGGUGGCUGCAGUCGAGAAUCCUCGGCAAUGGGCGAAAGCCUGACCGAGCGACGCCGCGUGCGGGAUGAAGGCCUUCGGGUUGUAAACCGCUGUCGUAGAGGAGGAAAUGCGGUGGGGUUCUCCCCAUCGUUUGACCUAUUCUAGGAGGAAGGACGGGCUAAGUUCGUGCCAGCAGCCGCUGUAAAAC